ensembl:lncRNA
GGUGCUAAUGGUAAAGACGGUAGUAAGGGAGAACCAGGACCUCCAGGUUUGCCUGGAAGACAAGUGCUCGUAACUGCGGAGGGUGCCAGCAUUGACGAAAUCCGUGAGGCAUUUCCAAUACCAAUGGGUCCUCCAGGGGCAACGGGUGUUCCGGGAAAGAAGGGUGACAAAGGAGACAGAGGCGUCAAAGGAGAAAAGGGCGAAGCUGGGUCUCUUGGGAAAUCAAUUGAAAUGAAGGAUAUUGAGAUGAUGUUUGAAGCCUAUGGUAUAAGGCUACCUUUGCUGAAGGCUUUGAUUGACAGGCUGCUUCAGGAAGGAAUAGAAGAGCUGCUUCAUGUACUCGGCACUGCCAAGAAAACAAAGGAAAACACAGACACUCAUACUUCUAACAUCAUUACAGAGUACACAAGUUCAGUCAAGUUUGACCUUUCCAACCAACCGCUGACAGAGUUGGACACCAUUGCAGAUCCUGAGUUUGACAGGCAGCUUCCAGAACCUUUCUCAUUUGGCCCUUUGAAUGAGACUGGAGAGACUCCCACAUUAUGGACCGUCACUACCCUGAAUGGAGAGCAGAAGCUCAGCGUGAUUGAAGCCAAAUUAAAGGGAUCUGUAAUGGACAGGGUGGAUGGAAACAGAGAUGAAAUAUCAUCUCUCAGAAUGAAUCUCUCUGCUGUCAAUGCAACUUUUAAUAACACUAUGAUACAAGAGACAGUUUUAGGGUCACCAGACAUGGUGGUGGAAACUGUUCCCCUGACUCAAGAAAACACAAAGAAUUCAGGACAAAAAAAGAAGAACAGGGAACGUGGGAAGGGCAAAGGAAAUAAAGGACGACAUAAGAGGCAGAGACAACGCCUGAGUGAGGCAGAUAGGCGUGAAGAAGGAGAAGACGAAGACGAGUUCUAUGAUGGUGAAGAAUCUAGUGAUGAAUAUGAGGAGGAAGAGUUCCCAGACAUCCCCUCGGUCAUUCGAGAUGGGAAUGACAACAGUCAGGGAGAUGUACCACCUACACACAGUCCUGUCAAAGCUGAAACAGUGGGGGACACCUCCAGACAUCCUCAGAUAGAAAGACAAGCAGAUGCACAGGAUGAACUGUCUCUUCCCACACCGCCUGUCUCAGCAGAGGAACCAAACAAGGACGUCUCUUAAAUCCUGAGAAACUGUGACUAUAGAGUUGUAAGCUUUCAUAAGAAAACACACUACAUGGAGAGUGUGAUUAAACUGUGAAGUUAUUGCUGGUGAGAAGCAGCUUAUCCUGAACCUGACCAACGUUUCAUGAGGGAGGACUUCUUUUUACACAGCGAAGAUGUCACACAAAGCCACGGCCAUAACAAACUUAACGCCUUGUAUUGGGACAUUUCUGGAUAGAGAUAUUUUUUACAAAAUCAGUCACCACUGUUAAUAUGUCCACUUAUUGUCAUUCGUCAGUUUGUUCAGUGUAAACACAAAUGUGGUCUUAUCUUGUUGAUGACUCCUAAUUUAUUUAUUAAGUUAAAAGCUUUUCUCAUAUUUUCCAAAUAAAGAUCAUAAUAAUGAGACAUCGAAUUUUCUCAUAUAUUUGCCCACAUUCUUGUGUCAAGUUGCUGCAUAUUUUAUUUAUUGAAACAUGGAAGAAUAUUUUGUUUUGCUUUUAAUCUUUUAGAUAACCCUUUAGAUGCCUUUUUUUCCCCCAAUAUAUUCAAUUCAAGAUUUCAAAAACCUGUCUGUUUCAUUCAGUUAUGUUGCUUGUCACAAUAUUGCGACUUUGGCGCUUAAAGGGUUAAUAUCCUUACAUACCAAUAAUAUUAAUAAGAAUAUAAAGAUACUAGAAUUGUCCAGUAAUGUAACCACAUCAAACACUUUUCACUGGUGAAAUUUUUCCCUGUUGUUACAUCAUUUUGUCUGUGUGUAACCUCUCUAUGCAUGUAUCCUUCAGUAAAAAUGUUGAAAAUAACUGUCUGUCUGUGUCUUUCUUUCCUGUGUUUUUACUGUC